AUUGAACGCUGGCGGCAUGCCUUACACAUGCAAGUCGAACGGCAGCACGGGAGCAAUCCUGGUGGCGAGUGGCGAACGGGUGAGUAAUAUAUCGGAACGUGCCCGGUCGUGGGGAUAACGUAGCGAAAGCUACGCUAAUACCGCAUACGAUCUACGGAUGAAAGCGGGGGGAUCGCAAGACCUCGCGCGAUUGGAGCGGCCGAUAUCAGAUUAGGUAGUUGGUGAGGUAAAGGCUCACCAAGCCGACGAUCUGUAGCUGGUCUGAGAGGACGACCAGCCACACUGGGACUGAGACACGGCCCAGACUCCUACGGGAGGCAGCAGUGGGGAAUUUUGGACAAUGGGCGCAAGCCUGAUCCAGCAAUGCCGCGUGCAGGAUGAAGGCCU
rnacentral:rRNA from 1 species